AAUGGAGACGCAUGGUUGAUCAACUCUGAUGCACCAGGUGAAACCAUUCAUGCUGCCCGGAAUGGGACGACGAUAUCAUGUGCCAUUCAUAACUGCUCAAGCAGGUUGUCUAUCAGGGGAUCUUCCUAUCUAGGUUACUCAUAGUGGCACUUAAAACCUAGGAGAACCCGAAAACCAAGUCAUGUUUCAUAAGCUCAGACCGGCUCGGACAGUGUCAACCGAAAACGUCGUCGUCUCUGUUGGGCCCAAAAAAAUAACGUUCAAUAAGAGACACGA